rnacentral:rRNA from 1 species
UUAUAAAAAUAUAAAUGAAUUGUAUAUAUCUUUUAUAUUAUAUCUAAGAUAUACAAGUAUAUAAAGAGACUAUUAUGGAAAUACGUGCUAUGUAUUAAAGAGAGAAAUUUAACUUAUGUACAUGAAUAAAACAUAUGAACUCUUAGAGAAAUUAUUUAAUAAACGAAGUGAAUUGAAAUAUCUUAUUAACUUCAGGAAAAAAAAUCAAACGAGAUUCUAUGAUUAGUGUGAACUAAAAUAGAGUAGCCUAUAUAAAUAAGUAAAAUGGCCUAAAAGCUGUUUGAAUUUAUGGGGAACCUUCCUCAAAGGCUAAAUAUAAUACAUGAGCGACAGUGAAAAGUACCGUGAGGGAAAAUUUUUUUGAAAUAGUAGUUUUAUAAGCAGCUCAAGCUGAUAAUAAAAAGCAAGAGCGUACCUUUUGCAUAAUGGGUCACCAAGUUAACAUUAGAUGCGAGCUAAUUAUCUUGAUUUGAUAGAUGACAUGCAUAGUUAAACCGAUCAUUAAAAUAAUGAAUAGUGUCUAAAGUUAGACCCGAAGCCUAGUGAUCUUACUAUAGUCAGGGCUAUAAAGGUCCGAACGGGUUAUCGUUGCAAAGAUAUCCGAAGAACUAUGGUAAGCGAGUGAAAGACAACACUGACUAGGAUAGCUGGUUUUCUGCGAAACCUAUAAAAGUAGGCAGUUUAAGUAACAUCUUAGUAGGUACAGAACUUUAUCUCAGACAAGAUGUAUAUUCUCAUAUGGAUAAAUAAGGCGCGGCGCGGCGAAAGCUCUUCCUCGCUAUUUAUCUAUUUAUAUGAAAUACAUUUUAUUUGUAUACAUCGGGGGAUCGUGAAGAUUUUAUCGGUGAGUAUGUAGACUCGGAAUGACAAAGAUGGUUCUUGAAUUAUCGGACAUAGAAUGCUAAGGUUGUAUGUCAAAAGGGAAACAGCCCAGAACAAAGAAAUAGUUAAGGUUCCAAAAUUAUUAUUAAGUGAAAUUAAGAGGGUUUUUAUAUAAGUCGACAAGAAGAUAGGCCUGGAAGCAGCCAUAUUUUAAAGACCUCGUAACAGAGCACUUGUUAAAUCUUAAAAGCAUCGAAAAUUUAUCGGAUCUAAAUAAUAUACCGAAACUUUGUCCACAAAUGACCAUAAUAAAUUAAAUUAUGGUCAUUUUUGUGGGGUAGCAGAACGUUGAGUUAAUAUUUGACUUUUCUUUUUUAAAGAAAAAUAUAGGACAACUCAAGUGAUAAUGGUGACAUGAGUAACAAAAAAGAAGGGCUAUGUAAAUUAUAAUAUAAUAUAAUAUUAUAUUAUAUGUUAAGCUCUCUCGCCUAAAGCUUAUGGAAAGAGUUUUAAAAAAGUAACGGCCUCUAAGUUGAUAAUACUUAUAUUAUUGCGAUGAGAAAAUCUAAUUACUUUAGACAACAUUUAACCUUCAAGGCACGGGCAAGCACCUCAAAAAAUUUAUUUUUUUUUUGAGGAGCUUGCAACCGCGCCUUGUAGGGAGUGAAAAAUGUGCUGGAAAAAAAAGUAACCGAUCUGAUUUUCUUUAUAAAACUAAGUGGGUGACACUACUCAUGCAUGCAAACUACUGCGUAGUCAAGCCAGCAUGUAGUACGUAGUACCGCUCGCUUAAUUAAGGAAAUAGGAGAAGGAAGUACCGUACCUAGAAACUGAAACAAGUAAGCUAGUAGAGAAUACGAAGGCGUAAUGAGGUAACAAUCAUAAAGGAACUCGGCAAACUAACUACCGUAACUUAGGGAUAAGGAGGGCUCAUUAGUCUCGAUUAAUACGAGUAAAAAGGAAGAAGCAUGAAAUAUUGUUGUACGACUGUUUAAUUAAAACAAAGCACUUUGCAUAAAGAUGAAAAUCUAAGUAUUGAGUGUGAUCUCUGCCCGAUGCCGGCUGGUUAACGAAUUAACUAUAUUGAUAAAAGUAUGGUCUUAGAGGAACCCCCGGUUAAUGGCGGCCUUAGCGUGAGGGUCCUAAGGUAGCGAAACGCCUUGGCCGUUAAAUGCGGUCUUGCAUGAAUGAUGUAACGAUACAACAGCUGUCUCUAUGAUUGACUCAGUGAAAUUGGAAUAGCAGUGCAGAUACUGCUUACCUCUAGUUAGACGAGAAGACCCUAUGCAGCUUUACUGUUACUAAUUAUUGAAUAUGAUCCCGGCUAUUCUGAGUGUAUAAGGUAAUUGAUAAAAUAUAAUUGAAACACCUUUAUUAUUCCAUCAUAUUAUAAUUUAUUUAUUUUAAAUUUAUCUUAGAUUUUUAUACUAUGCACUACUAAACGUGCUAGUAUGGAAAUCAGUGUAGCUAUAUGCGGAACUAAAUAAGAAAGUCAACCGAAAUAAAUAAAUCAAACUACAAGGACGGCGCUAUAUAUAGCUCGUCGUCAAAAUACGUAUCAGUAUGGUGUGAUAAGGCAAUUUUGUGGCGCAGCUAGAUAGCUGCACCGCUAGUUAGUUGACACCUCACUAUGAAGUUACUAAUUUACGAACUAUAAAAUUACGAAGUUAGGAACUUCGUAGUUUACUCAUACCAAUACAAUACGUAUUUAUAAGGUAGAACAAUUGUUAGGAGACAGUUUAUGCGGGGCACAGACCCCAUAAAGAGUAAAUGGGUGUGUCUAAUAAUAAAAAAAUUUAUGUUUGCAAUUUUUUAUAGUAAUCCUAUAUUUAAUCAUGUAUGUUCUAUUCAUAGAAUAUAAUAUGAAUGAAUUCGAUUCAUUUAUAAUAUAGUCCUUGGGUACAGUAUAAAAAUUAUAUAUGUAUUUUUGCAAUAUAAUUUCCAUGAAAUUAGGAGGUAAGAUUUUAUUUAUAGUGAAAUUAGACGUAAUAAAGUAAAUAUUAUGAGAUAGGCGCAAGCUCGAGGCACAAGUUAUGGCGCAAGCUCUGGCACCUCGAGUUUGCACCUCUCUAAUAUUUUACUAUAGUUAUUAUUUAGUGCUGCUGUGCUUAAAAUAUUUAGCGCAAGCUAAAUCUAAGCCUGAAGUAUGCUAUGCUUAAAUUAUUUUAAGUGUAAGCUUUUUAAUAAUAAAAAUGUUUGUUACUUAUAAAGCUUAAUGGCUUAAUCUUGCCUUACUGUUUGAUUAACAACAAAUCUUACAGUCGCGUAAGCGGGGCAUAGGAUCACAAGAUACAAAAAGGAGAGAUCUUGGAUUAUUGGAAAAGCUACGCUAGGGAUAACAGGCUAAUUUGCGCAAGAGUGUACAUAAUGAGUGCGCGGUUUGGCACCUCGAUGUCGGCUUAACUUAUCCUCAUGGAUGCAGAAACUAUGUAGGGUACGACUGUUCGUCGAUUAAAAAGUUACAUGAGCUGGGUUAAAUACGUCGUGAGACAGUAUGGUUUCUAUCUUCUAGAGGGAAUUAGAAUAUAACAAGGAUUAAUCUUGUACGAAAGGAACAUGGGGUACUGUUGUAUACCCAAAAGGUAUGCCAAUUUUAUUAACCUCUGGUUUACCUGUUGUUUAUGUGCCUUGUAUUAAUUUCUUUUUUUUCGACGUCGUACGAAAGAAAAAAAAGAAAAAUGGGAUGUUAUAGUCACUAACUAAAUAAAUAACAUAAGCAUGGCAGGAAAGCUAAGUUAGUCAAAGAUAAGUGCUGAAAGCAUAUAGGCACGAAGCUUGUCUUGGGAUAUUUCUUAAAUAUACGUAAUAUAAUAUUACGUCAUUAGGCUUAAUUUGCAAGAAUCUAGAGAUUUUAAGGUAUUAAGUACUAAUUUUAUAGUAAACUAUAUAAUUGAU